CCCCUAGUACCGGCGAGUGAACGGGGAAAUGCCCAGCGUUGAAUCCUUCGGCCACUGGUCGCUUGGAAUUGUAGCGUAUAGGUGCGGCUGUCCGUCUGUUUCGCUUACCCAAAGUCCCCUUGAGCGGGGCUAUUGUCCAAAGAAGGUGCUAGACCUGUACGGGUGGCGAGAUGGUCGGUUGGUUGCUCCUUGGAGUCGGGUUGCCUGGGAUCGCAGCCCAAAGUUGGUGGUAGACCUCAUCUAAGGCUAAAUAUGGCCACGAAACCGAUAGCAAACAAGUACCGUGAGGGAAAGUUGCAAAGAACUUUGAAGAGAGAGUUCAAGAGGGCGUGAAACCGCUGAGAUUGAAACGGAUAGAGUUGACGGAACUCGGCUGCAUUCAUUCGGUCGGCCUAGCGGCCCGAUGGGAUUGACUUCCUCGAUGAGGGCAAUACYGUCGGUAGCUGUUGGGUGCUUGAUCGGUGUAUUUGCGGCCGGUAUGCGCUGAGAGCCUUGCGGUCGCGUGUUGACGAGUGCGUAGUGGACCAUUCCUUACGGGCGUGGAACCCUCCGCACUUUGAGGCAUGUUGGCCAUGAGGUUUUGAACGUUAGCGUCUCCGCUAUGGUGCAUCGGCUUUUUCGGGCCGUUGUGGCUAUGGGAUGGUCGCAUGCGAGCUUCUGUAGUUAUCAAUGGCGUGGCAGAGUGCGGAUGCGUCGAGGCGUAUAUCUCGGUGUGAACGUUGACCACCUAUCCGACCCGUCUUGAAACACGGACCAAGGAGUCCAGCAUAUGCGCGAGUCAUUGGGUGAUAAACCUAAAGGCGUAAUGAAAGUGAAAGUCGUCUCGAUACGAAAGAUAUGGGAUCCGUGAUGCUUACGGGCAGCACGGCGCACCAUAGCCCCGUCCCCGUUGCUUGCAAUAGGGCGGAGGUAGAGCGCAUACGCUGGGACCCGAAAGAUGGUGAACUAUGCCUGAGCAGGAUGAAGCCAGAGGAAACUCUGGUGGAAGUCCGAAGCGGUUCUGACGUGCAAAUCGAUCGUCUGACUUGGGUAUAGGGGCGAAAGACUAAUCG
rnacentral:rRNA from 1 species